GUGUGGAAGCACAUGCCAAGUGGUCCUGUGACGCCACAUUCCUGUGCUUGGGACUGAACCAUGGGAUUGGGUGUGCACAGAGUGGCCCGCCACAGGGAAUGGGGAUGUCUCUAAGGAGGGACCCAGUGUAGGGUCCAGCCCUACAGGGCCUGUGGGUUUUCUCUUCAUGUGCGGAGACAAGAGAUCGUAGAAAAAUAAAGA
rnacentral:lncRNA from 10 species